GUACGGGAGGCAGCAGUGGGGAAUAUUGGACAAUGGGCGAAAGCCUGAUCCAGCAAUGCCGCGUGAGUGAUGAAGGCCUUAGGGUUGUAAAGCUCUUUUACCAGGGAUGAUAAUGACAGUACCUGGAGAAUAAGCUCCGGCUAACUCCGUGCCAGCAGCCGCGGUAAUACGGAGGGAGCUAGCGUUGUUCGGAAUUACUGGGCGUAAAGCGUACGUAGGCGGUGACUCAAGUCAGAGGUGAAAGCCUGGAGCUCAACUCCAGAACUGCCUUUGAAACUAGGUCGCUAGAAUCACGGAGAGGUGAGUGGAAUUCCGAGUGUAGAGGUGAAAUUCGUAGAUAUUCGGAAGAACACCAGUGGCGAAGGCGGCUCACUGGACGUGUAUUGACGCUGAGGUACGAAAGCGUGGGGAGCAAACAGGAUUAGAUACCCCGGUAGC
rnacentral:rRNA from 1 species